ACUUUAUUGGAAGGCAUUCUGAUUUAAUUGUGGAGCUCCGACUCCGCUAAACGCUUCUCCGGUGCAUGCUGGAUUAAUAACCGAGACCCUUAACGUUCGCAGUAUCCAAUCAGCGCUGUCAAUGCAAGUGGUUGACCGUGGCGAUGCUACGAGCGAGGCUAGACAGGCAGUAUGGCGGAGGAGGGCAGUGUGUACGAGUUAGAGGGGCUCAAAAAACAAUUAGAGAGUUUGUUGACCCGCUACUCAAGUGAUGAAUUGCGAGCCAAUAGUGAACUGUUCUGCUCCGACUUUUGCAAGCUGGUGGAAGAGUAUGCCUCUCGCUGGCAGGUGCCGCUGCCUCAGCUCAGGAUCCUUGAGAUAUCUCUCUGCUAUUUCGCUCGAGCCUGCACCUUCUUUCCAUCAAACUGUGAUCAUGUGCUCCACACACUCAGUAGUCUGGCUUUGAGUCUUUUUGAGUUGCUGCUGUUCUUUGACCAGAAGGACUUCCAUCAGGAGCCACUGAAACAGUUCACCGUUACAUUCCAGGAAUGUCACCAGUUGGCCCUUGGUGAGCUUCAGAAUGUCCACUUACUUCAGGUGGAGCGUUUGGUUCGGGGCGGCGGGCCCUGGGCCGUCCCAGCCUUACAGGCAAUCCUCAGUGAGUCCAAUUUACCUCAGAGUGAAGUGGAUGGGUGCAUCACCUCCGAGAUGCCGGUGUUCUUUGAGCUCCGGGUGCACUACCUGUUAUCCUGUGAGCGGGUCAGUGAGGCUAUGGCCCUGGCUAAGUGUUGUGCUCGGAAUCCCACAGCAGGACAACACUUGUUCUUCCUCCAGGUCUACCUCACGUGGCUUUUGAAAACUUCACAGCAUGACCGCCUACAUAAAGAGGUGGCUGAUUUAAAUGGUAAAGAUGCAAUUCACAUCAUCUGCAGUUUGGAGUGUGAGGAAAAAGACGAGUUGCUACUCGCCCUCAGUAGAGCCUUCCUCUCCCAGCAGCUUCGCAGGGGAGACAUGUACUAUUUGUGUGAUCUUGUCUUCGUAUGGAGUAAACUACACAGUCGGUUGAAUACAUCCAAGAACGCUCUACUUGGGGAGAGUCAUCAGCUGAUGCUGUCUGCGACCAAUGUCAACUCAAUCUUCCCAUUCAUCAGAGCCAUACUGCAAGAGCUGGGUGAAGAUGGUAUCCAGUUCUGCGUGGAGCUUUGUGCCAAUGCUCUGGGAUCUUGCCUUCCCUGCGACGUCAUCACAAAGUCCCUAAUCUACAAAACAAUAGCCGGCCUGCUACCCAAUGACCUGGAGGUUUGCCGGGCCUGUGCUCUUCUCGUGUUCUUCCUCGAACGCACUGUUGAGGCCUACAAGAUGGUGUACCUUCUUUACAUGCUUCCGGAUCAGGAGUACCACGUGGAGGAAAGCCCCAUUAGAAAUCAUGUUCGCUUUGAAACCCUGCAGGUCUUGAAGAAGGACUUGUAUUUUGACCCAGAGUUUUGGAACCUCAUUGCUUUGCGGACCAACUGUUUGAAGCUGAUGAGUGAGAAGGUGGUUAGUGGUGCCCUGGAAGAAAUCAUGGAGGACAAAUGGAUCCUGAGCUACUGCACCAAAGAAGCUGCUUCCCGAUUAAGCACGCCAGUAUGCCAGAAAGGAAGUAAGGGGACAGCAGCUAAAAAGCGGCACCAUAAAGAGGACAGACAUCAUAAAAAUGAUACUGACACUGUAUCCAAGAGAUUAAAGGUGGGUCCAGGCAAAACACGGCCUAAUGUUGACCCCACUGUAAAGAAGAAAGGCAACCGAGGGUCAUCAUCAGCUGAACCUUUGAGGCGUUCAUUUUGGCAGCUAGACAGGCUACAGGACAGUGUAGCCGUUAGGCACGGGGAACUUAAACGCACUACACGACUCUCUGAGAAGAACCCACCGAAACGGAGGAUUAGAAAACCCAAGUGGCUUCUGGAAGACUCAGGAAAUCUUGGAGAGAAUAAUGUUCUUCCGAAGAUCAAAAAGCAUGGGUUGAAACAUCAAAAGCAUCAUGGAUCCUCUGUCGUAAAGAGGUCUGAAACGGGGGAGCUUAAGAACAAUGCAAAACACAAACCUUCAGUAAACUCUCAUUUAAUGGCAAGGAAAAACAACGGCAAGCACCAGAAAGGGUUUUUGCUGGGCCCUCUAAAACCAGCCCCCCCGCCACAAGUGAUUCUUGAGCUCUCCCUGCCAGACAACGAACUGAUGGGAACGUUUACGGAGGACACUUUGAACAGACAGAGAGGUUUACCUCAAGUGCUUCUUUACAGACCUACGGUAAAGGUUCCUGCCGCAUCACAACCGGUGAAGACUGUGCAGCGCAAAGAGGUGGUUCUUAGAGCGCGGGAUGCAGCUAUGUUUGUACAACAGUUGCACGGUUAUGCUCGGCUGCAGAAAGGAAAAGGUAAUAGGCUGAACGUUCAAGGCUCAGUAUCAACCAUCACACGCUCAUCUGUGCAAGGAAGUCCUCCAAAAGAGCCACACAGAAAGCUCUGUAAAAAGCCUGCCGCUGAGAUGAAAGGUGGAAUUACCUCUCAGACACCGGCAGCUGAAGUUACACAAUCCCCAGCUUUAGAAACCGUCCUUCAAGUUCAAACUAAGAAACCAGUCUCACGAAAGACAUUUUCAGGCGGAGAGCUCUCCCAACAGUCUGCUGCAGAGAUGGAAGCUACCAGUGUGUCAAAGACAUUAGCAGCAACUGAAGCUUCAGCAGAGAAACUCUGUGAAGAGUCUGCUGUUGAGAUGAAAGUCACUAUUGCCUCAAAAGCGGCUAAAGUGACUCAAUCCCCAGGUUUAGAUAAGGUCUCCAAAGAUCAAACCGUUAAAGACUCUUCAAAAACCACAACUUCAGCUGAGGACAACAGUCAGAUGGUAGUUACUGAUAACAUCCCUCCAGUCUCAAUUAUGGCCGACAUUUCAAACAUUGGAUCUUUUGAUCCCGCAUCCUCACAGUCUCAAGAUGUUCUUAGAGAUGGAAAACAAGAUCUGAAGUCACUCUCUUCUCAGGCUGAAACGGCCAGAAAUCUUGUGGCGCAAGAAAAAGCAGACAUCCCAGAGGUGCUCACCACUGUAGGCAACAACAUUUCUGAGGUGGAUGUCCCAGAUGUUUUCCACAAACUCUCAAAAGGAUAUAUACCUCGUCAAAAUGACACAAGCGGAGGAACAAUGGUCAUUACUAAUACACCUACAGAUCAGGACAGUAUUAAUAACAUAUCUGCUCUGACAUUAGUAACAGAAAUGGUUACUGAACUUGCACCUGUGGCAGUUGAUCUGGAGAAUCACAAACUGCUGGCUCCAGAGUACAGUUCCUCCAAGGAGUCUACAGCUGGAAGUAAGUCUACAGCUGGAAGUAAGUCUACAGCUGGAAGUAAGUCUACAGCUGGAAGUAAGUCUACAGCUGGAAGUAAGUCUACAGCUGGAAGUAAGUCUACAGCUGGAAGUAAGUCUACAGCUGGAAAUUCCUCGCAAGUUCCUCACAAAUUGCGCACUGCCUCCAGCUGCUCUGUAGUUGCUGAUGUGCAAGGGAAGGAAGAGGGACCUCAGGAUAUUGGUCCAGAGACGCCCGAGAACAGUAAACUAAUAGAAUCCGAGGAAUCCAAGUUGGAGUACUGCUGUACAUUCUGUAACAAGGUCUUUAAGGGAAGUCGGGUUGUAGCACAUGCUAUGUUCCAUUAUCGUAAAGAUGAGUGCAUGUUCUGUAGGACGAUGUUCAAAGAUGACCUCCUGGCCAUGAUGCACCUUUCUGACCAUAUUGAGAAGCUAAAGAGGAGCAAAGAGUCCGCUGGUAAUACCCAAGAAAACUGGGUCUCUGAGACCAAAGAUAUCGCCACACCUAAGACCUCUGCCAAAGCUAAGACCACAAACGUGUCUUCUGGGUGCUGUAGUAGUGGGAGAACAAGGCAGUCUACUGACUGUCUUAAAUUAAUAAGCCUUCCAGAUUCAACACCAUCUGGCUCCAGAAAGUUAAGAUCCAACGACAAGCCAGUGGAUUGUCCGUCUUUACAUGAAAAGAAACAAAACGUGUCCAAGCACCUUAAUAAUAAAACUCCUGUUCACAAGGUAAAUGGGCAUAUUUGCAAGAAGAAAAGGCUCGGCAGACCGAGAAAGGACACCUUGAGCUCAGAAGCUAAGCAGCCACUUAUAAAGGAGGAGCUCUCUCAAGUAAGAUCAAAUGAUGAAGUGGAGAAUCCCAGGUUGCAACAAAAACAAGAUAUAGAGAUGGGUUCCUCUGCAACAUCAGCACAGGUAGACAAAAAGUUGGGCUGUUUGACUGAAGAUAAAAUGAAGGAGACAAAAUCUGUGCAGGUCCUGAAGACGGCCCCAAAACACAUUGGGAAAGUUGUCGAGGAGAAAAACGCGGAGCCACAAGAGAGAGUCUGCUGUCCUGUGGAGGGUUGCGCCUGGAUUACAGACCUGUCAAAAAACCGUGUUGCACUCCUCUACCAUGCUCUUGAAGAUCACUGCGGUGAAGUCAAACCUUUAGAACUGGCGUUCCGUGUGGCAAACAGCAAAUGUAGUAGUUGCAUGAGGGUUAUGUGGAGUUUCGAUCAUUUUCAGCACCACGUUGAAAGACACAGACUCACUCCGCGGCAUCCUUGCCUUCAUCAGGGUUGCACUGCCCGGUUCAAAACUGGGAUGGAAAUGAGACGCCAUGCCAGGAGGCACAGUCCGCUGCAGGCAGUGUGCUGCCGCCCUGGUUGUUCUCAACUAUUUAUUUGUCUCUGGGCACUGAACCUUCAUGAAAGAGAGCACUAUGCUUCCCAACCCACUAAACCAGACAAGAACACAAAUCCGCAAACGGGUGACAAACGCGAUAACACGCCGGGCGGUAAGAAACAACCAGAUCAUAGGCCACAAGAUGCAACCGCUGCCACUACUGUAAAUAAGACUGCGAGUGUAAAGGCUGCUCAUAAGUUAAGAGGAGAAGCCUUGCAUAACUCGUCACCUGGGAAACCUGUUCAGGCUCCUUCUCCCUCCACUGUCGGCUCACCUCUGUUGAAAGAGAGAAAUGCGACCAAGGAUUCACACGUCUUAAAGAAUCUUUCUAACAAGGACACCUCCACACAGCCCACUGGCCCUAAUCUGAGAUUAAGGCAAACGUUAAGAAAAGACAAAGUAACAAAUACAACCGCAAGUCACAAAGUCAUCUCGUCGUCGUUGUUAAAACACAAUAUCAAAGUAAGACAUAAGUUGAAGAAAAAGCAGGUCAAAGUAAACACAAAAGGUCCUAAAAGGAGAGGGCGUCCUCCUAAGUCAAAGGAAGCUGUGCAUGAUGAAAACACUACUACUGGUCAAAACGAUCAAGCUGUCGUAGAAAAAACGGCACCGCUUGCGAGCCCCACUAAAGUAGCAGAGACCUCGAAUGUGAGCAACGAGUCAAAAGAAGAAGAAAAGAGUCAGCCGGUCCAAGAUGUAGUCACAAGUACGGAAACAUCAAUCGAUGAAUCAAAGUCUAAGAAGUCAACGAUCAAGCAGACGAAGAAGAAAUUGGUUAAACAAAAGGGCAUUUCUCAUGCCUCCAUGACCGCUAACAGCUUAAAUCAAUCAGUCAGCACCACCUCAGCAGACAAAACACACAAGUUGACAGCUGACAAAAUGAAGAAGCUGCAUAAAGUGAAAAAACGCUCCGCUCCUAAAGAGAACAGUAGUCAAACUGCUUCUUCAGAUUCCAGCAAGUCGAAAAGGAAUAAGGUUACAAAUGGCAAAGCCAACGCAAAGAUUGUCAAGAAAAGAUUUCCUCUCAAAGAACCAGAGUCCAUAUCUGAUGUCCAGCAAGUUGAGGCCAAGGCAUCGGCAGGAGUAGAAAGGUCUGCGGAUGAGGAGGGAAGAGCAAAGACAGAAAACACAGACUCGACACAAAGCCGCUCUGGUAAAUCUGUGUCUGCUGUCCCGGCUAACACCUCGGAGAAAACGCAGAAGGUGACAAAAGAAGAACAAUCUAAGAAAUCACAUGUGAAAAAAGAAGGAAGGAAAGAAAAGAGUAGUCGCAGUGCUCCUUCAGACUCAGGCAAGACCAAUAAGAAGAACAAACAUAUUAAUAAAAAAGGGGACAUAAAAACGCUCGAGGAAAGAAGGCCGUGCAAAGAUGCAAGCACAGCCUCUGCUUUGAAAAAGAGAGCCAAGUCUGAAUCAGUAGACCAACGGGUUGAGGCUAAAGCAGCGGCAAUAGAAAGCUCGCCUGACGUGGAAGGAAAAGCAAAAGAAGGACCAACGGAUACAACACACGACAGCUCUGGCUCUCUCAUCCCUGCCGCCAAAUCCAAGAAACCUCACGUCACGAAAAACUCCGACCCCAGCAAGGCAAAUAAGAAGCGCAAGAAUGUUCAUAAGGAAGGUGACCCAGAGAUUGUCAGGAAGAAAUGCAAAGGCCAGGGGGCUUCAUCAGCACCUAGGAAGCCUGAACAGUCCAAAAUCCAACCGCUCGCUGAGGGGAAAGCCGAGGUAGCGGGGAGCGCUGCAGGCGAGGAGGGAGAAACGUCAGCGGAAACGCCGCAGUCUACAAUUGGCGGGUCGGGUUACUCUGUAGUGACCAACGGGCAAGCAACGAGAGAGGAUGUCGAAUCUACGGUGUUUAAGAACGCUCUGGAAGAGUAUAGCAAGAGGCCGUUCAUGCGCCUGCCACCCACAGCGUACCUGGACGAGAAGUACAUUACCAUGCCAAAACGAAGGAAGGCGCUGUCGUCUUUCCAGUCGUCUCCGAAGAGCCCCCCCUCUCCUCAGCAGACCCACGUUACGACGGCUCGGCAGAGACAGCGGUGCGCCAACUGUUUUGCUACUUUCGACGGCGCCGAGGAUCUGCAGAGCCAUCUCCAACUGCAGAAGUGCUCAAACAUCUUUGGAUUUGACUCUGAUGACGAGGGCAACAGUUGAACAUGUCUAAAGUCUAAGUGAAUUGACAUUUUGGAUGCAUAAUAUACUGACCUGCGUGGAGCCCACCGGAGGAAUCCUAACACAACAGAUCCAUGCUAUCUGGAUGACAUCUGGAGCCUGAGAACUGAAAGGGAUACCUGACUUUGACUGCAGCACGUGCCUGUAGGACCGGUCGGAACACACGAAAACGGCCGAUCGACAAAAGACAACCGCACUGAAUCCCAGUCCGACCGUUGGCCGAACAGCUAGUACUGAAGUGCCUGCUCUGGAACCACCGUGCUGUUUCCAGCUGCUUCACCUGGUAUGGAGAUUAGGAAUUGUGGCUUAAAGACUGGACUCUUGAAAGCUGUGAAAAAAAACAAAAAAAAACACUCGAGCCAGACGACAAGGCUGCUCCAGCUAUCACUAGGAUACAUAAUUUUUCACAUCAGUAAGCCAUAUAAUGCCAUUAUUUGCUUUUUUUGCACUCUUCUCAUACGAUUUAUCAAUUUCUUUCUGCUUAAACUCAAAGUGAUGGGGAUUGUGAAAUGAAUGAAGCAUCUUACGAGUCAUGCUAUUUUAACAUCCUGAGGUUGCGUAUGAUUUUCUUACAUUUGCAAAGUUGUAAGAUUGCUGUAUCACAGUCUUCUUUGGGAUAAUGUUAUGUAUAACUCUUGUUUAAAUACUAAUUGUAUUUCUUACAUCCCUAUGGGGUUGAUUAGGUAUGUGCUUGUCCUCACCAUGAGUAACCAGUAGGGAGCAGUGUGCACCAAUCUCUUUAGGUUAACAGAUUGUUUUUUUUUUUUUCUUGCAAAACAUAAGAUAUUAUUUGCUCAGUUUUGCAACAGAAGGAUUUCUACAUACAAAUGCUGCUCCACUGUAUUUUAUCACUGGAUGGACUCAAGAAAUGGCUUCAGUUCCUGCAACCAACCACAAAAUGUGCCAGUAUCCCGCUGAUAUUUUUGCUGGGUUCUGUCACCGAUCAUGUUCUGUUAAUUAUUUGCUGUCAGUGGAGCAGCUGACAUCCUUGCUUAUAUUUUCUCACUUAAACAUAGAUUUUUAUCUACUGAACUUGUCCAAGACCAUAGAAAGAAACAUUGUGAUUUCUCUUUUAGGUCGAAUGUUCUUUCCUUCAAAGAGAACGUCAUAAACAACCAGUUUCUAAGUGUUACCAGGAGACCUCAUCAGUCUUUCAUGAUCAGCGGCAGGUUAUAUUUAUUUAAGUUUUUUUUUUUUUAAAUCUUUUUGUAAAUAUAUGAAGAGUUUCAGUGGCUUAUUAUAAAAGGGGAUGUCGGAGCUGGGUUUAUAUUUUGUUCUUGAAGUAAAAAAUAAAACUUAUUUCGAAUGGCAUCUGUUCAGUUUGCCGUUAACAAUGAUGUCCAAUACACCAGAGAAUUGCGUGUUUUCAUCAGAGGAGGAAUGAGCAGUUUAUAUCCAAAAGGAGAAGGUAAAAUGAUUCAGUGCACUGGCAACAGAUAAGACACAGCAGUAUUGGAGAGUGGGCCGCAGAGGAAGAGAGAAUGUUGACUUAUGUAGACUGAUCACUCGCAAGAUAAAUCCUCACUUUUUGCCAACCUUUGGCUUGUGUUAUACUAGAGUUUGAAAUCCCAACAGGUGAAACUACUUAAAAGCUAAAACUAAAAAGGGGAACUGAAUUGCCAAUCAUGACCAACCUAGCAAUGAAAGGUUCAAAGUUUUGGAAGCCUUUAUUUUUGAUAUAUUUGAAUUGCAUUUUCAUGAUUUGAAAAGGAGCUGAACCUCCACCAGCUGUAGCCUCGGCCUCAGACUCCCACUACCUGAAAACUUCGUGGACUAUUUCAGGGUACAUUUCUGCCAACGUGAGCACAUGCAGAGUAUAAUGUAUUGAUGCAGCACAGUCCAUGUUCACACAUGUUGUACAAAAAAGCAGACCGGGAUUAAAUAAGUUUCCGGUAGCUGAGGCUACAGCUCAUCCAUUAACCAGUGUAAUCAGCUAAUGAUGCAGACAGAUCAGACAGUCAGGUAAUGAGGCAGACGAUCACGUGGGCCAGACAGAAAGGCAAUCUCUGUUUUCUCUCUGAGUCAAUAUUGUUUAUUGUGGUAGAUGCAGACAGAGGGAGAGAGAGAGAGAGACUGCCCAAGAGGAGGGAGAAGAAGAAACAGGAGACUACAGGAAGAGUCAAGUUCCCACCCAGAGGCCUCUUGGGUCAGAGGGAGGUUGAUCUCUUGCGUGCCGGCUGUGGGAACCGCGACACGCAGCUGAGACCCGCAGUUGAAUGUCUUGGACCCCCCCCCCAUGUCCAUAAAAGGCCAUAUGGAAACAUACUCCCAGGGCAAAGACUAGCGAAGGCCCCCCCAAGGGCUGACCGGCCUGAGCACAGCAGGACAGGACCAGUGCACUCCGU